rnacentral:rRNA from 1 species
UACGAAGGGGGGCUAGCGUUGCUCGGAAUCACUGGGCGUAAAGCGCACGUAGGCGGCUUUCUAAGUCAGGGGUGAAAUCCUGGAGCUCAACUCCAGAACUGCCCUUGAUACUGGCGGUCUCGAGUCCGGGAGAGGUGAGUGGAACUGCGAGUGUAGAGGUGAAAUUCGUAGAUAUUCGCAAGAACACCCGUGGCGAAGGCGG